UCCAGCUCUUUGGGACCCCAUGGACUGUAACCCACCAGGCUCCUCUGUCCAUGGAAUUUUUCAGGCAAGAAUACUGGAGCGAGUUGUCAUUUCCUACUCCAGGGGAUCUUCCCAACCCAGGGAUCAGUGGUGAUAGACUUGGGAAGAAGGGAGAUAAGACGCCUUUAGAAGCAUUUCUCUCCGUGACCAAGCCAGGGCUUGGGUUCUCAUACUCCUCUUAAAUUCGAACAAGCAACAUCCUGCAGUGAGUGGAAAGCUUCCAUACUAAAGAUCUGUGUUUUGCUUGAAACUCAACAUUCAAAAAACUAAGAUCAUGGCAUCCGGUCC